UACGUAGGGUGCAAGCGUUGUCCGGAAUCACUGGGCGUAAAGGGCGCGUAGGUGGCACCACAAGCGGGCGGUGAAAGCCCGGGGCUCAACCCCGGGUCGGCCGUGCGAACUGUGGGGCUGCGAGCAUGGUAGAGGCGGGUGGAAUUCCGGGUGUAGCGGUGGAAUGCGUAGAGAUCGGGAAGAACACCCGUGGCGAAGGCGGUGUGCUGGGUUGCAACUGACGCUGAGAUGCGAAAGUGUGGGGGAGCAAACGGG
rnacentral:rRNA from 1 species